GACAUUUAUAAAAUCAGUCUUCUGUCCUCAGGUCAACAACAAGCUCAGCUCAAAGCACAGGACAACAACUGAAACCAGCGUCAUUCUCUGACUCUCUAGAUCUCAGCAGGAACAAUGGCGAACAAUGGUAGUACCGAGAACAUACGCAUGGGCUCCAACACAGGGAACGUUGGUUCUGAUAAUGCCUUCGACAUUAAAGGAUGUGUUGGACCCAAUGCUGCUGUGGGCAACACCUCUGGCAUCGGAGGAAAUAAUGCAGGAAGCAUUGGAUCAGAUAUGAUAU